rnacentral:rRNA from 1 species
GCGGUUAAAAAGUGCGUAGUCUGGGUUUCGCUGUGGAUGCCAGAGCCGUCCCCUGGAAGGUUCAUGGAGUCUCGGCAUCUCUUCAGCUUGGAUCUAUGCUUGACUGUGUGGGUCCGGGCUGGGAGCCAUCACCUCGAGGAAAUUAGAGUGCUCGAAGCAGGCGUGAGCUUGUAUAUAUUAGCAUGGAAUGACUUUUGGGCGUCUCAAUGUCCUUUGUUGGCUUUGGACAUUGAGGAGAGGAUUGAUAGGGACAGUUGGGGGCAUUCGUAUUUGACUGUCAGAGGUGAAAUUCUUGAAUUCGUCAAGGUCGUCCGACUGCGAAGGCAUUUGCCAAAGAUGUUUUCAUUGAUCAAGAUCGAAAGUUAGGGGAUCGAAGAUGAUCAGAUACCGUCCUAGUCUUAACCAUAAACGAUGCCAACUAGGGAUUGGAGGGCAUCUACUAUACGGGCUUUCCAGCGUCUUUGGAGAAAUCAAAGUCUUCGGGUUCCGGGGGGAGUAUGGUCGCAAGACUGAAACUUAAAGGAAUUGACGGAAGGGCACCACCAGGAGUGGAGCCUGCGGCUUAAUUUGACUCAACACGGGGAAACUUACCAGGUCCAGACACA